UGCCGACCGGGUUUCUGCAUUAAGUUCGGCAUCAAAACGGUGACCUGGGAGUAGAGGGGCCACCAGGUUGCCUAAGGAUGGGUGAACUGGCCCAAGUCAGAAAUGAAGCGGGUCAGAACUCCCCUGCCGGGCAGUAGUGGAACUGAGCUUGGGCA
rnacentral:SRP_RNA from 1 species